GUGAGGAAUAUUGGACAAUGGGCGCAAGCCUGAUCCAGCCAUGCCGCGUGCAGGAAGACGCAUCUAUGGUGUGUAAACUGCUUUUGUACGGGAAGAAACACUCCCUCGUGAGGGAGCUUGACGGUACCGUAAGAAUAAGGAUCGACUAACUCCGUGCCAGCAGCCGCGGUAAUACGGAGGAUCCAAGCGUUAUCCGGAAUCAUUGGGUUUAAAGGGUCCGUAGGCGGUUUAAUAAGUCAGUGGUGAAAGCCCAUCGCUCAACGAUGGAACGGCCAUUGAUACUGUUAGACUUGAAUUACAAGGAAGUAACUAGAAUAUGUAGUGUAGCGGUGAAAUGCUUAGAUAUUACAUGGAAUACCAAUUGCGAAGGCAGGUUACUACUUGUGGAUUGACGCUGAUGGACGAAAGCGUGGGGAGCGAACAGGAUUAGAAACCCUAGUAGUCC
rnacentral:rRNA from 1 species